AAUCAGCUUGUGUGUUAGUGGAACGGUCUGGAAAGUCCGACGGUACAGGGUGAUAGUCCCGUACACCAAAAUGCACAGGCUGUGAACUCGAAGAGUAGGGCGGGACACGUGGUAUCCUGUCUGAAUAUGGGGGGACCAUCCUCCAAGGCUAAAUACUCCUGACUGACCGAUAGUGAACCAGUACCGUGAGGGAAAGGCGAAAAGAACCCCGGCGAGGGGAGUGAAAAAGAACCUGAAACCGUGUACGUACAAGCAGUGGGAGCACCUUCGGGUGUGACUGCGUACCUUUUGUAUAAUGGGUCAGCGACUUAUAUUCUGUAGCAAGGUUAACCGUAUAGGGGAGCCGCAGGGAAACCGAGUCUUAACUGGGCGUUAAGUUGCAGGGUAUAGACCCGAAACCCGGUGAUCUAGCCAUGGGCAGGUUGAAGGUUGGGUAACACUAACUGGAGGACCGAACCGACUAAUGUUGAAAAAUUAGCGGAUGACUUGUGGCUGGGGGUGAAAGGCCAAUCAAACCGGGAGAUAGCUGGUUCUCCCCGAAAGCUAUUUAGGUAGCGCCUCGUGAAUUCAUCUUCGGGGGUAGAGCACUGUUUCGGCUAGGGGGUCAUCCCGACUUACCAACCCGAUGCAAACUACGAAUACCGAAGAAUGUUAUCACGGGAGACACACGGCGGGUGCUAACGUCCGUCGUGAAGAGGGAAACAACCCAGACCGCCAGCUAAGGUCCCAAAGUCAUGGUUAAGUGGGAAACGAUGUGGGAAGGCACAGACAGCCAGGAUGUUGGCUUAGAAGCAGCCAUCAUUUAAAGAAAGCGUAAUAGCUCACUGGUCGAGUCGGCCUGCGCGGAAGAUGUAACGGGGCUAAACCAUGCACCGAAGCUGCGGCAGCGACACUAUGUGUUGUUGGGUAGGGGAGCG
rnacentral:rRNA from 1 species